GGCUUAAGUGCUUGCCUAUGCAUUAUGUCAGUGCAUUCACUUCAUCUGGUAGGAUCCUUGUGUCCUAGUUUGUAAAUCAGCAAACUAGGGCUGAGUAGCCCUGUGCCUUGCUUAGGACUCCCAGCUAACCACCAUUGAAACUGUUCCAGGCCUGUGUCUCAGAAGCAAAAGCCUUUCAACUAGGCCACAGCACUGGAAGCAAAGUUUGUCUGUAAGUCCUUCAAAGAACCGGAAUAACCAUUGGUGGCUGGCUCUGCAUCCCUAAGGGCAGUCCUGCCUUGGGAAGGACACAAAAAGGUGCGUGGCAAAGCACCAGAACCCACCAGAAGAGCCCUAUAUUGGGCUAAGGUCCAGAAAGAACACAGAAAUGCCGACGGGGAAUAAAGCUGGGCAAUUGCAGCGACGAGAGCUGUGGUUUCUGUAUGUGCU
rnacentral:lncRNA from 1 species